GCGUCGAAUCUGCGUUUCCGGAUGAGAAGCUAUUGAAGGGAAGGGAGGAGGUCCUGGCGUCGGCGCUUCCCGGACAGAAAAAUCGAAUACCUCGUCCGGAAUCCAGGAAAUGAACUCAAGAAAAUGAAGCCUAAUAGAGGAAAGGCCUGUGCUGGAGAGAGAGACUAUGUGUACACACUCAAUGCUGGAAAUCAACAUUUUGUGCUUACAGUGCCUCUCAAAUUUCCUGUGCAAGAGAAUAUUAGUCAUUUGCAUGGGCGUCUAAUGCUUCUGCACAAUCUGCCAUGCUUUGUAGAAAAUGACCUGAAGCAAUCUCUUAAUAAGUUUAUAGAAGAUGAAACUAUAAAGGGUUAUGAUAGAGAAGCUGAAAUGGCUCUGGAAGCUGUGAAGUCAGGAGAAGUAGACAUAAACCAGCUGGCAGAUACUUGGGCUAAAGCUUAUAAAGAGACAACGUUAGAGUAUGCAAAACCUGAAGAAAACAGCUGGGAUGAAGAUUUUGCAGAUGUUUAUCAUGAUCUGAUACAUUCUCCAGCUUCUGAGACCCUGUUAAACCUGGAACACAAUUAUUUUGUUAGCAUCUCAGAAUUAAUAAGUGAAAGAGAUGUGGAAUUGAAAAAACUACAGGAAAGACAAGGAGCAGAAAUGGAUAAGGUGAUGCAGGAACUAGGGAAAUCUCUAACAGACCAAGAUGUAAAUUCAUUAGCAGCUCGGCAUUUUGAAUCUCAGCAGGAUUUAGAGAACAAAUGGACCAAUGAAUUAAAACAAUCUACUGCUAUCCAGAAGCAGGAGUAUCAGGAAUGGGUGAUAAAACUUCAUCAGGAUCUGAAGAAUCCCAACAACAGCUCAAUCAGCGAUGAAAUUAAGGUUCAGCCCAGUCAAUUGAGAGAAUCUGUAGAAGGAAAUGGGAGAAUUUACGAAGAGCAAAGACUUUUAGAAGAAAGUUUUACUAUUCACUUGGGAGCUCAGUUGAAGACCAUGCAUAAUUUGAGAUUACUGAGGGCUGAUAUGCUGGAUUUCUGUAAACACAAACGUAAUCAUCGAAAUGGAGUAAAGCUUCACAGACUUCAAACUGCAAUGUCUCUCUAUUCAACAUCUCUCUGUGGCCUCGUUUUAUUGGUAGAUAACCGUAUCAGUUCGUACAGCGGCAUCAAAAGAGAUUUUGCAACUGUUUGCCAAGAAUGCACAGAUUUUCAUUUUCCUGGAAUUCAAGAACAACUUGAAAUUGUCCAGAAGGUUGUACUUAAGGCCAGAGCACAGCGUAGCAAUAAGUCAAAAAAGCAUCACGGAAGCAAAGAUAGUGGAAUUGAAGAUAAAUCCAAGAAUAUUGAACGUAACCAGUCAAAUAUUUUACAAGGAGAAUUCUACAUCACUCGCCAUUCAAAUCUUUCUGAAAUUCAUGUUGCGUUUCAUCUUUGUGUGGAUGAUAAUGUAAGAUCUGGAAACAUAACUGCUCGGGAUCCUGCAAUCAUGGGACUUAGAAACAUUCUCAAAGUUUGCUGCACACAUGACAUUACUACCAUUAGUAUUCCUCUCUUGUUGGUACAUGAUAUGUCAGAACAUUCUUCUGAAGAAGCUGGCAGCUCAUGGCUUAGACAGAUACACUCUUCACUGCAUAAAAAGCUGCUUGGAUGGCUGGGUCCAGGAAUAGACUUAAAUCCAGCUGUCAACAGGUAACUUGCAACGGGAUGAGAGGUAAUGGCCUCAUGUUGCACCAGUUGGGUAUUUGGAAAAAAUUUCUUCUCAGAAAGAGUCGUGAGGUAUUGAAACAGGCUGUCCAGAGAUGUGGUGGAGUGGCUUAGUAAGCACGGUUGUGAUGAAUUGACAAUUGGACUUAAUGACCUUAAAGAUCUUUUCUAACUUCAAUGAUUCUAUGAGUUAAGACAAAAGCGUUUGGUUUUUUUCUUUUUUUGUUUGUUUUUAAGUAAAAAUAAAAGGCAAAUAGGCUGUGUAGCAAGUAUUUGUGAACAGUAAUUUUUACAUGUAGAGCAGAUUAUCGAACCCCUGGGCUGCAUACAGCCCUGGACAGCUGGUAAUGCAGUCCAACAAGAUCAUAAACUUUAACAUUACUGUGAGUUUUAGUGAUAUUUUUAAACAGCUGAUUGCACUUCUCUUGAGCACAGACUGUGUAGAUGACAAUGAAAUGUUGUGGAGAGUGCAGUGCAGGGCUAGCUCUGCUUCUUGUGCCUGCUGCACAGUGUCAAUUAAAUUUCAGUUUAAUUGAGCCAGAUGUGUUACACAUUAGAUGCACAUGUGCCACUUGGCAAAUAAAGUGCAGUGAUUACUAGUAGUAAUAUUUUGUCCUGGUUUCAGCUGAGAGAGUGUGAAUAGCACACCAGUGUUUUGAAUGUUGCUGGUUGACAAGGCCAUGAUUGGGACCAGGCCAGGCUGCUUGGCAAAAGAUCUACUGCUGAAUUAGGCAAGGGUUUAUUCCCUACCACGUGACACCAUGCAGAAGGCUAUAAAGCUGUGGAGAGUUGACCGGGGCCAGUUGCUGCUUGGGGAUUAGCUGGACUCCAUUUGAUGGGUAGUAACUAAUUGCUUUGUGGAUUUACAAAUAUUUCUUUGUAUAUGCAUACACACAGAGAGAUACAUGUAUAACUAUCAUCACAUUUUUGUUCCUACUUUCCUUCUGUUUAGUCUUAGUAAAUAGUUUUUAUUUCAACACAGGAGUUCUAUUUUGAUCCCAUCUCUCCUCCCAUUUCACUAAUGGGAGCAAGGGUGGAGGGGAGUGGAAUGAGUGAACAGCUGUGUGGUGUUUAGUUGCCUUCUGUGUUAAACUACAACGUAUUUCAGCUUACCUACAUGUGUAUGCCUGUGAAGAUGCAUGUCCUUUAUUAUUAAGUGGGCAUGUAAGUUUUCUUAUUUAAUUAUUAAAAUUGGGCUUGUGUUAUUUCAUAAAAUAAUUUACUGUGUAAAUGUGAUUGCUGGAGAAGAAAUAUCCAGAAUACUUGUGCAGUGCUAACAAACUUUGUAAUUUUCAACAUCUCCAAGAGCUCACAAACAAUAUAAUUUGCAGUAUGUUUUCAAUAAACCAUACGGUUUGUAUUUGAUUAAUGUUUUUGUAAUGUUUGCCUAAACAAAUAUGUCAUUUUACUAAUUCAGCCAUGCUAAAAGCAAGUUUACAGAGAAUGUGUGUAAUACUUACAUUUAUGCACAUUUCUCAGAAACUAUAAAUUCACUAAGUUGCGUAUUAAACGGCAACUUCUUUUUUUAUGUGAAAGUAGCACAGUAAGUUAAAUGUUUUAUGAUAAGAUCUAAAAGAAAUGAAAUUACAAGAAAAAAAAGCAUAAAAUUAAAAAUGUCAGAGUUGAUAUAUAUUAAAAAAAAUUGUUGCUUCUAUACAUUAACUAUAUUAUAUAUUGUAUAUGUGGCCUAAGACAGUUCCUCUUAGUUCAUUGUGCCUCAGGCAAGCCAAAAGGUUGGACAACUCUGAGACAGAUUAUCAGUGUGUGUAUUAACCUUUAAUUUUUUACCUCUUACAGUUUCCCACCUUGAAGUGUAUAGCUGCUCAUACAGUGUGAAGGUUUUGUGUAUUGCAAGUAAACACCUUGCUAAUUCACCACAUUAAUUAAUUAACCAUUGAAAAAGGAUCUGAAAGCUUUGUUCCACAAGAAGUUUCUGGAAUUUAGUGUUUUCAUUACUUGGUUAUGACAUGGCUUUCUGCAGAAACUUAAAUGUGCUCAUAAAUUUAAAAAAGCGGUAAUCACAUGGGAAGAGUCUGUUGAUGCAGCUUUGCAGCAUGUAUUUCUAAUCAAUGAAGUUGACCUUUUUUAUUUUUACCAACAGAAGUGAUGUUAAUCUGAUAACAGAUCUUUUCAUCUUAAAACGGAGUGGUGUGUGGUCUCAAACAGCAAACCAAAACCCCCGGGCAUUUUUUUUUACUUGCUGGAAUGUUACUAAUGAAAGCUCAUCAAAAGUGAUGGUUUUUUUUAUGUUUUCCUAUCCUUUGUGCUGUGCUGUGAAUUAGUACCCGCUCAAUCCUUUGUUUUCACUGCUGUUAAUUUACAUAUAGAGAAAAAUUCUAACAUGCCAAAAUUACAAGAACGUGUUUUUAAAGGUGGAUUGAAAUUGAAUCACUACUGUGUCAUUGUCUGUUCUUGUGGCUUGCAUACUGUGACGUUCUAGGUUCAACCUAUUAUUUCCCUGAGUGCCCACAAGAUUUAGCAUCUAUGUUCCUCUGAAAUAGUCCAAGGAAUAGUGUCAUAUCCUGCUGCCUCAAUCGGUCCUUUUUAGGCCAGGUCCUUUUAUUGAUUACAUAAUGUACUUCUGAAUUGCUCUUAGAGUAACUGAACCUUUCUUUUUAGACAUUUGUUCUUAAACCAAGCCAAAACAGUGAUCAAAACUAGCAGUAAACACCUACAUUGCUUGUGACAGAAAGCAAACAUAGGCAGUUAAUUUGUAACAAAGGCCAACUAUUUUUUCCAUAAAGAUUAGAAAUGAAAAUAGUAUUGUCUGCAUUGUUCUGUUUGAUUCAUGUGCUGUAUAACCUAAAAGCAGCACUUUGAGAUGCAGAGGUUUAUGUGAUUAAGACAUAUAGAGAGAGAGAUUUAGUUGUAGAGCACAUCUGAACAAAUUGAUCUUAUUUAUUAUGGACAUCAUUUUCUCUGAGAAGUUCUGACUCUUUACUGUGGCGGCCUUUCUGCCUCUAACUAGGAAAAUUCAUCUUAGUAUAAUUCAUGUUAUGGUUUACAGGAAAAGAAUGUUGUAUAUAGUAAAACUGUUUCUUAAAUGAUUUAGACUGGUGCACGUGGCCACACAUUACAGUAACUUUUAUCAGUGGGGCUUUCAUAUCCUAUCUUGUUGGUUAACUUGACGUAAGAAAUUGCUGUCUGAUUAAAUCUGAAAAUCAUCAGAUGAAGUUAGCUUUUUUUUGUUCAGAAAAAUCACCUUUAGGAGAGGAGGUUUUUACAUGAGGUAUGUGGGUAUGCCAAUAAGCCUAAAUCAGAAUCAUCAGGAAUACCUGGUAACCAUCAGUUACUGCUGUUAAGCUGUGGUCAGGAGCCUGUUUUUUGCUACCUGAACCACAAAUCUGACAGUCACAAUUUUCAUUUCUGAUGUAUAUAUACUGCUAGAAUACCUGAUGGGAAAAUAUGCUUUUAUGGCAAUUUAUUAUUUUAAAGAAUUUCCUUGCUGCUGUUGUUGGUUGAUCCAUUUGUGUUGAGCCUUUUCAUUAUUCAUUUAAUUUUAGGAAAUGACCAUUCCAUGGUGCUUAAAGAGGGCAGAACUUGUGUUCAAAUGUGUCAAAGGUUUCAUGAUGGAAAUGGCCUCAUGGGAUGGAGGAAUUUC